CUACAACAUUUUAGGCUUUUUACGACCCUUUAUUUUCUCGACGGUUCCAAAACCGUCGUAUAUAAUCCUAUUCUUGACGGUUUUAAACUAGUUGCCGACGGAUAAAAACCAUCAAGUAUAAAGAUAUUCUCGACGGUUUUCAACUAUUAAUUUACGAAUAAAAACUGUCACAUAAAACUUAAUAAAACGUGAAUUAAUUAUAAAAACAAAUGUACUUAUAUCCUUGAGAAAUCACGCCUUUCAAAUUAAACAGUAAACAGAAUACACAAAACAAUUUAGGGCUUUUUUCAAUUCUGUCAACUCCACCGCCGCAACAACCGCCACGAGACGGCCGAAUCACUGAUGUAUACGCCGCCGGAGCCAUUGUCAUUGCUAACUCAAUUCUCGCUGCUAGUUUGGGAAUCACCGGAGUGAUGUUGAAUUUGUUUUCACCGCCACCGGAAACAGAUACCGCCGAAGCCACCGACGUAUGCACCGUCACCGGCACGGAGACCGCCGAAACAACCGACUUGUAAACCGUCGCACCCAUCGCCAUUGAGAACUCGAUUUCCGCUGCUAAUUUGGGAAUCACCGGAGUGACGUUGAAUUUGUUUCCAAAAAUCUAAUCCCCUUUCAUUGCUUACGAAGAUAUUAAAGAAAAUGAGUUGUUUCUUGCUUUCAAGGUAACCUAAAGAUGGUGGUUGAAGCAUUAGAGGCUAUGAGGGAAAGGAAGCUAUGGAAAUGAAAGUGACUUUGGAAGUAAAGGGAGUGAGAGGUCAACUUGCAGGAACAUAUGCAUUUGGAACUUACUACUAUUUCACACUACUAAAAUGAGAUUGUUGUGUAAUAUUUGUUAUCAAAUUUAGUACUUGGUCAUUACUUCAUUAAACUGUUAUAUUAAGAAUAUAUUGCUUGAAUAAUAACUAUGUUUUUAUGUUCUCGCAGCUGACAGAUCUUCUGGCUUUUCUUUAAGGUACCUUUUUAUAUGCGUUGAAUUAUGAAAUACAAGUCUAAAUGAUAGAAUUUACCUGUGAGCUUUCCAAUUGUCGAGGUGAACUGAUUAGUUAACUAAAUGCAGUGGAAUUGAAAGGGACUUUUUUUUUGUGGCAGCUGAGGUUGGUCCGUGGAGCAAAACUGGUUGUCUAGGCGAAUGGGCACAAAGUGAUAUCUGUCUGUCCACAUUAUGAUGUCUUGGCAUACUUUUGUCCUUGUUGAGGGAAUUAUAAUUUUGCAGAGAGGUAUUAAGUUUUUAUUGAUCAAAUGCAUCCUAUCAAGUUCGAAGUUGGAUAUUUUUAGCACGUGUUUGGAAGAGGGCAUAUGGUCGCAAGAGGAUAUAUGUGAAACGAGAGGCUGACGCAAUUAAUUUUUAGAUUUUUUAUUCUAAUAUUUGGAAUUAUGUAAAUUUAACUACAAAUGGAAGUUUGGCAUUUAGUACUCUGUAAAGAAGAAUUCAUGCUUUUACAAUGUAUAAAUAAUAUAAUUCAUGUUUAAGCAUGUUAGACCUUUUA